GACGAACGCUGGCGGCGUGCCUAAUACAUGCAAGUCGAACGCAGUGGGGACGGGUGAGUAACACGUGGGUAACCUCCCAUCAGAGGGGAUAACACUUGGAAACAGGUGCUAAACCGAUACUGAUGGAUGGACCCGCGGUGCAUUAGCUAGUUGGUGAGGUAACGGCUCACCAAGGCCACGAUGCAUAGCUGGCCGUAGAGGCUGAGCCGCCUCACUGGGAAUGAGACACGGGCCAGACUCCUACGGCAGGCAGCAGUGGGGAAUGUGGGGCAUUGGGCGCAAGUCUGACCAAGCAACGCCGCGGUAGAGGAGAAGGUGUUCGGGUCGUAACCCUCUUUAGCUUGAGAAGCGGUAUCUAAACAAGAAGCCACGGCUAACUACGUGCCAGCAGCCGCGGUAAUAC
rnacentral:rRNA from 1 species